UCUGGCGGCAGUAGCGCGGUUGUCCCACCUGACCCCAUGCCGAACUCAGAAGUGAAACGCCGUAGCGCCGAUGGUAGUGUGGGGUCUCCCCAUGCGAGAGUAGGGAACUGCCAGAC
rnacentral:rRNA from 1 species